UCAAACUUGGUCAUUUAGAGGAAGUAAAAGUCGUAACAAGGUUUCCGUAGGUGAACCUGCGGAAGGAUCAUUACCGAGUCGCCGGGCGCACGCCCGACUCGCCACCCCCUGUUGACCGACCCACGUUGCCUCGGCGGGGGUACCCCCCCGCCGACGGACACCCAACCCAACCCUGUCGAAACCGUGUCGUCUGAAGGUUGAUGUAAAAUCAGUCAAAACUCUCAACAACGGAUCUCUUGGCUCUGGCAUCGAUGAAGAACGCAGC
rnacentral:misc_RNA from 1 species